GGAAGGAGAAGAAGAGGUGGCCCACGGUCUUGGAAGUGCAGCGUUCGUGCCAGGCUGUGCGGCCUGGUACCACUCAGCAGAGAGAUAGCGACUGUUGGGAGGGAAUGUGCAUCGAGAGAGGACGGGGUGCAGGAGUGCACCGAAUGCGCACUUGGAUCGUGUCGAUAGUUGAUGUGUAAAAAUUCUUUUGAUUUAUCAUUCGAACGUAUGAAGUAUAUGCGGAAGUUCUAUAUGUACAAAUGAUUUAUUAUUUAAUUUCGAAAUUGAAGUAUCAAGGAAAUUUAUUAUUCGAAAAAUUUCUGUUGGCCAUACGAAACGAUUGAGUAAUCGUCACGGACACCAAGUGGCGCAAUCGAGAAGAUUUCGUUGCUCUAUGUUAGAGUAUCAAAAAGAAAAAGGAAUAAACAGAACAGAAAAAAAAGGAAAAAGGAAAAAGGAAAAAGAAGGGGGAAAAAAAUAAUAACGAAUGAGCGAGUUAAUUGGUACGUUGGAAGACGGAUUCGUGCGAUCAAGAAAAAGUGACGUAGGCGCUGGCUCGUACUGGCUGGUACCGCGAGAGCUAGAGAGGCUUAGAAGAGAAAAAUAAAAUGGAAGAAGGAAUAAAGAGAGAUGAAGCAGAAACUGGGAAAGAAGUAAGUUAAAGGAAGACGGAGUUUUAAUCACGGAAGUAAAUGAAAAGUACCAAGUGUCAGGGAUUGGAGCUCGGCAUGGAGAAUGAGUAGGAGGUGAAAGAGGGAGGAGGACAGCGUUGUGGUGUUGUUUCUGGCCACCAGAAAGAGAGUCACGUUGGGAACGUGAAAUUCGCUCGUUCCAUAGAAAGUGCACCUAGCGAUUGGCCUUAAAUGGUGCACGACUGGUAUACCAAUGCGUUUGUGAGUACUACAUCGACUUGAACGAAAGACAGAGAUAGAGAUAGAAAGAGAGAUACUCUAUCCUAAUGCGAAUUAGUAAGGUAAUUCGCAUUUUAUUUUCUUAUGGAAAGUUUACAACGUAGCUUCAGGUUUCUGCGACCUAAUGAUUUCUACCAAUCAACAACUUCAUAUUCCCUUGCGGAUCUUCAUUGGAAAUAUUGAAGAAGAAAAAAGAAAAAUAAAAAGAAAAGGAAGACGUAAUUACUCAUUGUUUCUUUUUUAUUUUAUCUUAUUUUAUUGUAUUUUUUUUUUCGAAAACGAUCAACGACGUAUAAACGUCCCUUGUAAGAGUUCCCUUCGUUAGAUCAUUAAUCGAGCAUUCGUCUACUCGUGACCUUGUACGUAGAGUAGGAGUAACAGCGCAACAGAAUCAGUAGCGACGAGUAUAUACACAUUGAACGGUUGAAUGGCACAAGCAAACGAUAUAUAUGAGUAUAUGUAUGUGUGUAUGUAUGUGUGUAUGUAUGUAUGCCGCAUAGCGUUCGUGACUGUCACGACUGAUCCGAUUAUCUUCGUACGAUCGACGGGCCAAAGCGAUCUCUGGAUUUCCAAGAUGACCCCGUUAUAUCGAAUCAUUGCACUCUUAUUGCAUUUUCGUGUCGAGGUUCAAUAGAUUGCGAGCAUUCUUCUGGAAAGAUAGCAAAGAUUCCGAGAAUUUCGCGCGUUUUUCUCUAGUAGCCUAGAUUGUUUUUUAUUCGUCUUUAUGCGACUUUAAUUGAUCUAAAAAAAAAGAAAAGAAAAGAAAAGAAAAGAAAAGAAAAAGUAUAUCAAUGAUACGAUAUUAAUAGUCUAUAACUCCAAGUAACAUUGACAAAUAUAUACUGUAUUUGUGUAUCCAUCAUGUUUCAUUAUUUCGCAAGUAGAUUAUUAAUCGUCAGUUUAUAUCCGGCAUUUAAUGUUUUCUAAGUAUACGUCGUAUUCUUAUUGUUAGUAUAAUUAUAUCAGUAUAAGUUGUAUAAUUAAUAUAGUUGUAUAGUUACGUACUGAUAUAAGUUAUACUUACAAGGCAUUGUGAUAUAAAAUUGUAAUAUAAAAGUAUGUAUCACAGCACAAUACAUACUUUUUUGUUAAUACAAAUACAAGCCUUGUUGUAUAUUGACGAAUUGUGUUCCUCGACCAAUCGAUAAACUUCCGAAUCCCAUUGUAUCAUAUUUAUGGUGCUUUUAUUUAGUUAAUUUAUUACGAGAUUGAAAAAUUAUACAGGGUGGUCCGUAAUCUAUGAUACAAGCCAAACCAAGCCAGAGAUAUACAUCAAAUAAGAUCAACAUCAAAAAUAACAAAAUUCAUUUGGAAAUAUAAUUUUUGAAAAAAAAGUAUUGAAAAAUUAAACGACUAUGAUGCACCUAAUGACUGGUAUUGUAGUUUUCAAUAGACACCGUUCUAUAACUACUUUGUACGACGUUUCUCUGUAUAUAAGAUAUAGACGCAUCGAAGGGUUAUCACAUUUAUAUCGUUUCGUUUAGCGUUAAGAUAAUGAGAAUAUAUUAAUAUCCGUAUCGGAUGAUACCAUUUUUUGAAGAAUUUCAUCACUAUGGAAAAUAAUUUAUAAUAUUCGCAUUACAUACGUGUAUCUUCGAAAUUAUGUAACUAUAUAUUUGAAUCGUUUAUUAAACCCCCGCAUUAUAUUAUCUGCUUCGUGAGAAAAUAAAAGAAAAGUCCGAUGAUCAUGUUAAAAAUGAAAAGAUUCUAAUAAACAUAAGUUAUAUCUAACAAUUCUCUUCUUUUUCCUUUAUUUCCAUCUGGUAUAUUUACCUACUAUGUAAUGAGAAACAAAAGUAUAUAUAAUUAUCUUCCUUUUGUACGUGUUAGAAAAAUACCGCUCGUCAUGCAACGUACGUAUAAUACAAUGGGAAUCAAAAGUUCUUCGUUUGUGGAAAAACACAAUCUAUCCGUACAAUCGAAGCUUGUAUUUGUAUAAGAAAAAAAAAAUGUAUUAUAUCGUUUCAUAGUUAUUUAAAUUACCGAUUAAGAUUUCACAUGAAAAAGAAAAAAAGAAAAGAAAAAUGAAUUUUUGAAGAUAUUAUGAAUGAUAAAUCUUUUAUUAAAUGA